UACGGAGGGUGCAAGCGUUAAUCGGAAUUACUGGGCGUAAAGCGCGCGUAGGCGGCUUGAUCAGUCGGAUGUGAAAUCCCAGGGCUUAACCUUGGAACUGCAUUCGAUACUGUCAAGCUAGAGUACAGUAGAGGCAAGUGGAAUUUCAGGUGUAGCGGUGAAAUGCGUAGAUAUCUGAAGGAACAUCGGUGGCGAAGGCGACUUGCUGGACUGAUACUGACGCUGAGGUGCGAAAGCGUGGGGAGCAAACAGG
rnacentral:rRNA from 1 species